UACGGAGGGGGCAAGCGUUAUUCGGAAUUAUUGGGCGUAAAGGGCGCGUAGGCGGCUAGAUGUGUCAAAGGUGAAAUCCCUCGGCUCAACUGAGGAACUGCCUUUGAAACUGUCUGGCUUGAGGCCGGGAGAGGGUAGCGGAAUUCCCAGUGUAGAGGUGAAAUUCGUAGAUAUUGGGAAGAACACCGGUGGCGAAGGCGGCGACCUGGUCCGAUACUGACGCUGAGGCGCGAAAGCGUGGGGAGCAAACAGG
rnacentral:rRNA from 1 species